GGCGGCACGGCGGACGCUGUCAAUUCAGAAACGGGGAAGAAGAUGGUGGCGGCUUGGCUGCGACGGCUUCGACAAGGGCAGCGACGGCAAGGCGACGACGACGGCAGCGGCGGCGGGCGCCAGCAGCGGCGGCGGACGCCAGCAGCGGCGGCGGACGCCAGCUACAGAUCGUGGUGACGACGGCGAAGACGAUGGCGAUGGUGGCGGCGGAAACCCUUUGGGUUUCCUCUCGGCAGAACAGAGGUAAGUUUUUUUUUUUUGGGACACGUGCGGGUCACGUGAACCUACAGUUUUUUUUUUUUGUGGAACCGGGCUAAUGGGUUGCGGGUUAACGGGCUCGGUACUUACCCGUUAGAGCUUCCUUCAACCUCCCAACGGUUCGGGAGGACGCCGAUCUUCGUGGCGGCGGCGGCGGCUGCGGGCCCGGGGCAGGGAUCACGACGGCGGCUCCACGACCUGCGGCGGCGGCGACAAGAUCAUGGCCACGGCUUCGUGGCCUGCAGCGAAGA
rnacentral:lncRNA from 1 species